UUGAGGGCAAUUUGCAUCUUUUCCAAUUUAUUUUUUUUUCUUUUCUUUAAUUCAUUUUAAAUAGGAUAGGUUUUUGAAAAUAUUAAAUAUUUUCUUUAAAAUUCCUAAGAUAUCAGUUAAUAAUUGUUUUAUGUUUUCAACUUAUCCCUCAUUGAAAAACCCAACAGCCAAGCGGCUGGGUUUGAAUGUGGUAGUCCAACAGUUUUCCUUUUUU
rnacentral:lncRNA from 1 species